GACGAACGCUGGCGGCGUGCUUAACACAUGCAAGUCGAACGGCAAGGCCCUGCGUUCGUGCGGUUCUCGAGUGGCGAACGGGUGAGUAACACGUGAGUAACCUGCCCUUGACUUUGGUAUAACUUCAGGAAACUGGGGCUAAUAUCGGAUAGGAGACCCUGCUGCAGGGUGGGGGUUGGAACGUCUCGGCGGUUGGGGAUGGACUCGCGGCUAAUCGGCUUGCUGGUGGGGUAGUGGCUUACCAAGGCAUUGAAGGGUAGCCGGCAUGGGAGGGUGACCGGCGACCUGGGGACUACGGGAGGGCGCAGACUCGUAUGGUAGGCAGUAGUGGCGAGUCUUGCCCAGUGGGCGGGAGCGUGAUGCAGAAGCGCUGGGUGCGGAAUGACGGCCUUCGGGUUGUGAACAGCUGUCGCCUGUGACGAAGCGUGAGUGACGGUAAUGAGUAAAUAAGCACCGGCUAACUACGUG
rnacentral:rRNA from 1 species